AGAGUGAUUUAAAAGUUUAUAAUUUUGAAAGAAAUUUCCAAAAGCUUUGGGGAACAUAUCUUUGGCCAGUUUUCCCUGGACCUGGUAGGCUCUUAGUAUUUUGGAAAUCUAGUUGAUAUGUUUUCAAAAUGGAAACAAUUAGAAAAAGACAAGGUGUUGCCUCUGUUUUUUGCUGUGGGCAGAGCACUUUUGAAAACCUGGUCCUUUAACACGGAAGUGACCAAUGUGAAAUAAUGUCAUCAAGAACAGUAAAGAAAACCAUAAUAUACCAUAUGAAAAGUCAAGAUUGGAAUAUGAAAAAUAUCCACAUUAUUGUCAAUUAAAAUCUUCACAGCUGCAAAAAAAAAUCAGCACAAAAUCGUAUUUUGCAAAGUGACUCACUUUUAUAUCCCAAAAGUAUAUUUUUGUUUACUGGGCUUGAUUUUAUUUUGGACAGAAAGGUAUAAAUUAAAAUGAAGCAAGCCACUUGUACAGGAUUUGUUUUAAAAUCUUAUACUGCACUACAUCAUUUUAUAUUAUCUGAAGUAAAAGUGUGGGGAAAACCCUGAACUGUAAUACCAGAUAAUUUUUAAAAAGCACAUUUUUCUUCCUUGCUGUGGUUGUAAACCAGAAACAGCAAACUGGAUGUUUAAGAAAGGGAGGGGUCUCUCCCAUUUCUUGUGUUUCACCUUUUCAUUACACUGCCUGAUCAUUUAAGGUAGAAGCUUGUUCCAGACAGAUUUAAUUAAACUAUGCUGUGAAACUGUAUAUAGAUCAAUGGAAAUGAUCCAUAACAAGAGGCUAAUCAUGUAUUUAACAGUGUUCAGUCCAGUUCAAUCACCUUCUACCGUUUCUGUGGCUUUACAUUCAUGUGGCAAAGCCCUGAAUGUGUAUAUGUAUUUUUAAUCCAUCUCAUUAGUGACCAUAUGCUUGGGUUUCAAGGGAGACAAGAACUGUCUGCAAUCUGCCAGGGAUUUAGGGACAUCAAUAAUUUGUGAAUAGUCAUGUUGGUACUGGUCGAAGGGUUAAGUGUUCUGCACACCAGGGGCACAUCUUCUGGGACUGGAACUCUUAGUCAACUGUUAGGAACCUUAUCCCCUGUGACACAUCUUUUCAAAGUACAUGCUACAUGUCAAAUCUCUGCAGCUGAAGCAAUGGAGCUUUAUUAGCUCAGGGAUUUAAAAACCUCCUCUAAGUAAAGUAACAGUAUCUUUUGGUUAAAAAGUGAAGAUAGUAGUAGAAAUAUGAAAGUGACUUUUUAUGUACUGGGCUAAAUGUGAUCUUCCUUUUUGUUCCCAUUUUCCUUCUCAACAUGAGCUACUAGAUUACUCUUCCCCUGCAAAUAUCCAGUAGAGUAUGGCAGCAAUAACGGAGACCUGAUUUUGGAAACAUAACUGGAUUCUGUGGCCUCACCUAAAUCUUGCUGAAGCCAACGACAGCACAGAUGUAAAGAUUGUCUUCCUAAUCAUUUGGAAUGACCCGUUAGGGGCUCCCAGGACAUUGUUCAAUCUACUUAGUGUGAAAAGCACCUUUAAAAAACAAUAGCAUAUGGCGUUAGAUUGUGCCAUGUUAUACGUAAGGGCUGCUGUCAGCAUGAGAGAUCAUCAAACUAUUGAUCCCAGUAUCCUGUCCUUACAAAGGAAUGGCAGAAAUAGGUUCAAAUGUCAGAAUUUUUGUUGAGACUGGGUGUUACGUUGAGUUAUUUUUGUUCAUUUUAAGUUUUAGUUAUGUCCAUAUCCCUCAACUGUACCCAGGUCAAUAGAAAAAUGGAUAGCAGUCCAGAAAGGAACUCUAUAUGGAGGCUGUGCCCUGAGCUUCUGCUGUUCAGUUGGGAGUAGCUGGUAUCCAUCUUACAGGAUGAAGUUUGCCUGCUUUCAGCAAAUUUCAUGUAGUAAUAAGUGCUGACUGUCACAGGAGAUGAAAACAUGCACAGUACACACCACUUGUUUGCUGCUUGCUAAUCAGAUGGUUUUGCUUGUACUUUAAGAAACAUUCAGGGCAGAUUAAGUAACUUUAAGGCCAAUUAAUCACAUAUAGCUCCUGUUAAAACUCCACUAGACAUACUCACUGUAACCCUUUGUCCUUUACUUGUUUUCACAUUUAAGAUCAACUUUUUUAUAAGCAUGGCAUGCAACUGAGCAAACAUUUCCAUAAGUGAUAUAAAGGAAAUAAUUUAUUGAAAUCUUUGAAUUCAAACACAGAGUAAUACUUCAGAAAAAACUCAUGACUGAGGCUCUUACUUAUCUACAAACAUAACUUGCAUGACUGAAAAAAUAUAGAUCAUGUCUUUAUUAGUGUCACAUCAUUAAAAACAUACAAAUAGUAUUGGAGAAUUUAGAGUAACUUACUAUAGCAGGUAAAAUAUAUAGCUGCCAAAUUUUUUAUUGUCAAUUAUGAUGAUAUAAGCUGCCACAGGUUUACUAAUUGUGCAUUGUCUUCUGAUGGACUUUAGAGUACAAUUUUAUUGUUUUAGAAGACCCAGUCUCCUCUUUCAGCCAAAAUUUGUAUGAGCAGACUUCUAUCCACAAUUUUUAAAUAUAUAAAGAUGCACAUCUAAGGUAGGAUGUCUUCAUAUCAAACUAUUUCAUUUAUAAGUAUGAUAAAACAUUUAGAGGCAUAUGUCCCAGAUUUCCAUCCACAUUUCAAUUCUAUGUGUAGGCAUUCCUGCAGCAGUUUGCAGUUGCAAUAGAAAAGGUGGUGGUCUCUUGGAAAGGUGGCACUUUCUGCCUGUCAACCAAGUCCAUUAGGGCAUGUUCUAAUGUAAAUAUUUAUGGCUAAUUUGGCCACCUAAAAAAAAAAAAAAAAAAAAAGGAAGAAGAAUGGAGUUAUUUCCUAGAUAGCCUAACUUUCAAAUUCUCCCUGAAAGUAAUACCUGCUUUUGUUAUGGUGGCUUUUAGCACUGUUUCACAGCUUCUAAGCCUGUAAAAAAUGUUAAAGACUAAAAUUAUAUUUUCACAAUU